CCUACGGGAGGCAGCAGUGGGGAAUAUUGGACAAUGGGCGCAAGCCUGAUCCAGCCAUGCCGCGUGAGUGAUGAAGGUCUUAGGAUUGUAAAGCUCUUUCACCGAUGAAGAUAAUGACGGUAGUCGGAGAAGAAGCCCCGGCUAACUUCGUGCCAGCAGCCGCGGUAAU
rnacentral:rRNA from 1 species